rnacentral:tRNA from 1 species
GCCCGGCUAGCUCAAUCGGUAGAGCAAUUGACUCUUAAUCAAUGGGUUCAGGGUUCGAGUCCCUGGUCGGGUACCA